rnacentral:rRNA from 1 species
UACAGAGGGGGCCAGCGUUAUUCGGAAUUAUUGGGCGUAAAGGGCGCGUAGGCGGCCAUGCGUGUCUCCGUGAAAUCCCUCGGCUUAACUGAGGACGUGCGGAAGAAACUGCAAGGCUCGAGUCCGGGAGAGGGGGGGGUGGAAUUCCCAGUGUAGCGGUGAAAUACGUAGAGAUUGGGAAGAACACCAGUGGCGAAGGCGGCUAGUCUGGACGGUUUCUGACGCUAAGACGCGAAAGCGUGGGAGCAAACAGG